rnacentral:rRNA from 1 species
AUGCAGCCAGAGGUCGCCCUUCCUCCUGGCCGUGACCCCGAGCUGCUCCUCCAUGUGCAGCCCACCGGCGGGGAGCUCCCAGUCGAAAUGGAAGAGGAAGCUGGCCAGUGCGAGCUCCACGACCGCAAGGCCAAAGGCGAUCCCAGGGCACAUCCUCCGGCCGGCGCCGAACGGCACGAACUUGAAGUUGGUUCCCUUGAAGUCCAGCGCCGCCUCCUCUUCGAACCUCUCCGGCCUGAACUCCUCGGCGUCGGCGCCCCAGGUCGCCGCGUCCCGGCCGAUGGCCCACGCGUUGACGAGCACCAUGGCGCCCUUGGGCACGGUGUAGCCGAGGACAUGUCGGGACUCGGGGCACUCCCGCGGGAGCAGCAGCGGCGCCGCCGGGUGCAGCCGGAGCGUCUCCUUGAGCACGAGACGCAGGUAGUGCAGGUCCGGCAGGGCCUCCUCUCGGACGCGGCUCUCCCCGGCCAGGGCGGAUCGCACCUCCGCCUGCGCCCUCCGAAGCGCCGCCGGGCUCCCCAUGAGCUCGGCCAUCGCCCACUCGAGCGUCGUCGCCGAGGUGUCGCUCCGUACGGUGAUCAUGGCACGGAUGGUUCCAGCACGGAGGCUGCCGUCAUUCUUCUGGAUCCUGAGCAUCACGUCGACGAAGUCUUUUUCCUCGUCGCCGGCGUGCUGGUGCUUGUCGAUGAUGCGGUCCAUGACCCGGCUCCCGAAUCCGGUGGCCAGCCUGACGCCCUCGCCGAGGCGCUCCAGGAAUUCGCCGCGGAGGUCGCCCCCGAUCCGGUCGCCCACCAGGGCGCGCACCGCCACGUCGAUGAUGUAGGUGGAAAGGAGGGAGCUGACGUUCACAGGCCCUGA